CCAGCACCCCGAGUGGUCGGGACGAUUAUUGGGCCUAAAGCAUCCGUAGCCGGUUUUACAAGUCCUCCGUUAAAUCCAACUGCUUAACAGAUGGGCCGCGGAGGAUACUAUAAGACUAGGAGGCAGGAGAGGCAAGCGGUACUCAGUGGGUAGGGGUAAAAUCCGUUGAUCCAUUGAAGACCACCAGUGGCGAAGGCGGCUUGCCAGAAUGCGCUCGACGGUGAGGGAUGAAAGCUGGGGGAGCAAACCGGAUUAGAUACCCGGGUAGUCCCAGCUGUAAACGAUGCAGACUCGGUGAUGGACUAGCUUAAUGCUGGUCCAGUGCCGCAGGGAAGCCGUUAAGUCUGCCGCCUGGGUAGUACGGUCGCAAGACUG
rnacentral:rRNA from 1 species